AUGAACGCUGGCGGCGUGCCUAAUACAUGCAAGUCGAGCGAACGGACGAGAAGCUUGCUUCUCUGAUGUUAGCGGCGGACGGGUGAGUAACACGUGGAUAACCUACCUAUAAGACUGGGAUAACUUCGGGAAACCGUAGCUAAUACCGGAUAAUAUUUUGAACCGCAUGGUUCAAAAGUGAAAGACGGUCUUGCUGUCACUUAUAGAUGGAUCCGCGCUGCAUUAGCUAGUUGGUAAGGUAACGGCUUACCAAGGCAACGAUGCAUAGCCGACCUGAGAGGGUGAUCGGCCACACUGGAACUGAGACACGGUCCAGACUCCUACGGGAGGCAGCAGUAGGGAAUCUUCCGCAAUGGGCGAAAGCCUGACGGAGCAACGCCGCGUGAGUGAUGAAGGUCUUCGGAUCGUAAAACUCUGUUAUUAGGGAAGAACAUAUGUGUAAGUAACUGUGCGCAUCUUGACGGUACCUAAUCAGAAAGCCACGGCUAACUACGUG
rnacentral:rRNA from 1 species